AAGUCGUAACAAGGUUUCCGUAGGUGAACCUGCGGAAGGAUCAUUAACACAAGUAAAAAAACAUUUUUACAACACCCUAUUAUGAAUUUAAAUUUUUUAAUUUUUAAUUUUUUUAUAAAACUACAUUUAAUUUAUUUGACUAACAUUUUUUAAUUAAUUUAUUUAAAAUUUUAUAAAACAACUCUUAACAACGGAUAUCUUGGCUCUC
rnacentral:misc_RNA from 1 species